rnacentral:rRNA from 1 species
AGAGUUUGAUCCUGGCUCAGGAUGAACGCUAGCGGCAGGCUUAACACAUGCAAGUCGAGGGGCAGCGCGGGAUAGCAAUAUCCUGGCGGCGACCGGCGGAAGGGUGCGUAACGCGUGAGCGACAUGCCCGUUGCCCGGGGACAACCGGUGGAAACGCCGACUAAUCCCCGAUGGGAUACGAUGCUUCAUGGCAUUGUAUUGAAAGUUACGGCGGCGACGGAUUGGCUCGCGUCCGAUUAGCUUGUUGGCGGGGUAACGGCCCACCAAGGCUACGAUCGGUAGGGGUUCUGAGAGGAAGGCCCCCCACAAUGGGACUGAGACACGGCCCAUACUCCUACGGGAGGCAGCAGUGAGGAAUAUUGGUCAAUGGGCGGAAGCCUGAACCAGCCAUGCCGCGUGCGGGAAGGAGGCCCUAUGGGCUGUGAACCGCUUUUGCCUGGGGGCAAUAAGGGCGCCGCGCGCGCCCGAUGAGAGUACCAGGCGAAUAAGCAUCGGCUAACUCCGUGCCAGCAGCCGCGGUAAUACGGGGGAUGCGAGCGUUAUCCGGAUUCAUUGGGUUUAAAGGGUGCGUAGGCUGUGCGUCAAGUCGGGGGUGAAAUUCCGGUGCUCAACACCGGGGCUGCCCUUGAUACUGUCGCGCUGGAGUGCGGAUGCCGCCGGAGGAAUGAGUGGUGUAGCGGUGAAAUGCUUAGAUAUCACUCAGAACACCGAUUGCGAAGGCAUCUGGCGAAUCCGUAACUGACGCUGAGGCACGAAAGCGUGGGGAUAGAACAGGAUUAGAUACCCUGGUAUUCCACGCCGUAAACGAUGAUGGCUAACCGCCGGCGACACACUGUCGGUGGCCAAGCGAAAGCGAUAAGCCAUCCACCUGGGGAGUACGUCGGCAACGAUGAAACUCAAAGGAAUUGACGGGGGCCCGCACAAGCGGAGGAACAUGUG